UACAGAGGUCUCAAGCGUUGUUCGGAUUCAUUGGGCGUAAAGGGUGCGUAGGCGGCGCGGUAAGUCGGGUGUGAAAUCUCGGAGCUUAACUCCGAAACUGCAUUCGAUACUGCCGUGCUUGAGGACUGGAGAGGAGACUGGAAUUUACGGUGUAGCGGUGAAAUGCGUAGAUAUCAAGAGGAACACCUGAGGUGAAGACGGGUUGCUGGGCUGACACUGACGCUGAGGCGCGAAAGCCAGGGAGCAAACGGG
rnacentral:rRNA from 1 species